CUUUCCCACACCUGUGUACUACACCUUCUAAUCAGUGUCUCUGUCUUCCUUUCACUGCUUCUGCCAACCACCAGCCUGUACAUUCACCAGCAUUUGGCCUAUUGUUGUCAAAUGAAGUCCAACCUUACUGCGUCGUCUCAUGCUCUGCUUCUGGGUCCUCAUCACCUGAUACCUCGCUCUGAGACCUAAGGAUGUCCAAAAUAUCACUGAUGCCACCUGAGAGUUUGUUCCUGGGAUCAGAGGAUGGUGCAAGCUCCGGAGCGAGGUGUUCGGAGUCCGGAGGCCAGAGAUCUAUGUUGUGCUUCUCCUGUGGCUGUCUCUGUGUCACAGCUC